CGGGCCGGCUGGCUGACCGGCACCGGGCUCGUCGUCGACGGCGGCGAAUUCCCGAAGCGGUGACCGUCACGCCGCCGGCGCGGC
rnacentral:tRNA from 1 species